GCCGGGUUAGCUCAGUUGGCAGAGCACUUCACUUGUAAUGAAGAUGUCGUGGGUUCGAUUCCCACACCCGGCU
rnacentral:tRNA from 1 species